rnacentral:lncRNA from 1 species
ACAAGUAAUAGUAAACAGAGAAAAGUAAACAGAUUCGUAACAAAGAAUGAAACAAGGUAUCAUAACAAGAAUAAUACCCCCACCAAGUAAUUCCCUACAAAAAACAGAUCUUCCUAUCUAGGGUCAUGUCCUCAGUGAGCUGUAACUGCUUCAUGUCUCGCCUAAUCACCUCUCCUCAGUACUUCUUUGGCCUACCCCUACCCCUCCUAAAACCAUCCAAAGCUAGCCUCUCACACCUACGAACCGGGGUAUCCAUGCCCCUCCUCAUCACGUGUCCGAACCAUCUCAAUCGGACUUUCCGCAUCUUAUUCUCCACUGGAGUCACACCAACCUUCUCCCUGAUAGUCUCAUUCUGAACUCUAUCCCCCCUAGUUAGCCCACACAUCCAAUCCAACAUCCGCAUUUCUGCCACCUUCACUUUUUGAAUGUGGGAGUUCUAACUAGCCAAUUCUUAACUAGCCAACACUUCGCUCCAUACAACAUGGCCGGACGGACUGCCAUCCUGUAGAACUUUCCUUUAAGCUUGGGCGGCACCUUCUUAUCACACAACACCCCAAAGCGAUCUUCCAUUUCAACCAUCCCGCCCUAAUACAGUGUGAGACAUUCUUGUCAAUCUCAUCGUUACCCUAAAUCACGGACUCGAGAUACUUGAAACUAUCCCUCUUACAUACCACAUGUGAUUCCAACUUCACUACCACCUCAUUCUCCAUUCUCACGUUAUUAAACUUGUAUUCCAAAUACUCUGUCUUGCUCCUACUCAACCUGAACCCUUUAGACUCAAGAGUUUUUCUUCACACCUAUAAUUUAUUAUUCACACCACCACCACCACCACCACCACCACCACCACCCCGCAUCUCAUCAAUCAAAACUACAUCUGCAAAAAGCAUACACUAAGGCACCUCUCCUUGAAUAUGUCGUGUCAACACAUCCAUCACCAAAGCAAACAAAAAGGGAAUAAGAGUAGAUCCCUGAUGCAAUCCUGUCAAGACAGUGAAAUGCUCUGAGUCUCCUCCUGCCGUCCUCACCUAAGUUUUAGCUCCAUCAUACAUGUCCUUAAUUACUCUGAUAUAUGCCAUCGGGACUCCACUCACCUCCAAGCAUCUCUAAAGCACCUCCCAGGGUACUUUGCCAUAUGCCUUCUCCAAGUCGAUAAACACCAUGUGCAGGUCCUUCUUUAUCUUCCUAUACUAUUCUACCAGCCUCCGUACCAGGUGAUUGCCUCUGUCGUCUAGUGUCCAGGCAUAAAUCCAAACUGGUUCUACAAAAUAGACACUAUCCAUAUCAGCCUCACCUCGACCACUCUCUCUCAAAUCUUCAUAGAGUGACUCAAUAACUUAAUACCCCUAUAGUUAUUCCAACUCUGAAUGUCACCCUUAUUCUUAUAAAGAGGGAUCAUAGUACUCCACCUCCAAGCCUCGAGCAUUUUCGUCGUCUUGAAAAUUCCAUUAAAAAAUCCAGUCAACCACCUUAAACCAGCCUCGCCAGAAAACUUCUAAAAAUCCACAGGUAUCUCAUCAGGCCCCAUCGCCCUACCCCUUCGCAUCCGGCGAACAGCCUCUCUAACCUCCUCUACCUUAAAACGUCUAGAAUAACUAAAAUUCCGACACUCCUCUGAGUGCUCCAGCUCCCCUAACAUAAUAGCUCUAUCCCCUUCGUCAUUCAAGAGCCUAUGAAAAUACGACUGCCAUCUAUUCUUAAUGUGGCCAUCCUCCACCAACACUGUACCGUCCUUCCCCUUAAUGCACUUCACCUGAUCAAGGUCAUAACCCUUCCUCCCCCUAUCAUUAGCGAGUCUAAACAACUUUUUUUCCCCUUCUUUAUCCUGUAACCCCGCAUACAAGCUCUCAAAUAUUGUCGUCUUAGCCACCAUAACUGCUAACUUAGCCUCCUUCCUAGAUAACUUGUACUCUUUCCUUUUUACCCAUUUCUCUUCUUCGUCCUUACUCUCAACCAACUUGGCAUACGCCCAUUUCUUGGUCUCCACUUUCUUCUUAACCUCUUCAUUCCACCACCAAUCCCCCCGAUGAUGCUCGGCCCGUCCCCUAGAAACACCUAACACCUCACUAGCAUUCUUCCUGAUGCACCUAGCUACCCUAUCCCACAUACUAUCCACAUGCAGCUGAUGACCAUGCCUGCUAACUUAUCCCCUAUCUCCUAUGCAUUCACUAGCAUCAAGCUUCCCCACUUAAUUCUAGGUCUACACUCCCCACUCCUUCUCUUCUUAUCUUUCUUUAUACCCAAAUCCAUAAUCGAAAGAUUCUCACUCGGGAUGACCUUACAGUCCUUACACAACACCCUAUCCCCUUUCUUAAGCAACAAAAAGUUAAUCUGGGUCUUGGCUAUUAUACUUCGAAAGGUGAUCAGGUGAUCCUCCUUCUUUGGGAAGCUCAAGUUCACCACCACCAGCCCAAAGGACCUUGCAAAAUCCAAUAGAGUAUCCCCCUCUUCAUUUCUUUACCCAAAACCAAAAACACCAUGCACAUCAUCAAAGCCUCCCGGUUAAAAACCCACUUAAUAAGCAAAACAUUUUUUGGUAUUAUAGUAAAUAUUUUUUAAUAAAAAGUCAAAAUAUUUAUUUUCCUUGUAGAAGACCAGUAAAUAAUAUUACUUCUUCUAGUCGGCUCAUUUUAUUUUUCAAAAUUGAUUAGUUAACUAGGUAUAGUAGGGACCGCAGAUUUAUUGAGGCUUUUAAUUGUGAUAUUAAUUUUUAUAUGAAUGAAUUACCAUAUGAUAAUAAAUUAUAAAUUAUUUCACUAAAAAUAUGUGAUUGCACUCCUCGAUUUAAUUUUAAAAUCUGUCAUUACAUCCUAUUUAACUUCACAUAUUAGAAUUACCGACACCAAUAAAUUAAUUAAAUUCUCUAAAAAAGUUAACUCAUUGAUUAUUUUAAUCUUUUAUUUAUAAUGUUCAACUUAUUUUGCAUAAUUAAUAUAAAAUUCACAUGCAGGAUUUUUACUUGAAAACUUAUAAGUAAUUAUAAAAGGGUGUCUUUUAUCUAAAGUCUGAGACAUGGUUCUAUCAACUGAUUAAACAAUAAACCAAACAACAUAGAUAAUAAUAAUUAUAUCAAGAUUAAGAGUAUAAGCAUAUGUUAUGGACUAGAAAAGUUGUUUAUUAAUAUUCAGAAUGUAAACAAACAUCUCUAAUUGGUCCACUCAUUAUAUACGAAAUGUACUAGCACAAGAAGUUGAAAUAUUACCACUUUCAUAAUUAAGAUUAAAUUAUAUUUAAUCUUGUGCUAAAAUCAUGAAGAUAUUUGUCCUAGCUCAUCUUUGAUUGUGAACAUUAAUUUAUAACUUAUAAGAACUGACAAUUUUAAACUUUGGUGCAUGAGUUAAAAUACUCCAUACACAAAAUUAUCUACUAUAUAAGUAAAGGACAAGCAUGUUACACAAUGAUCUAUUCGAAUAAAAAAAAUUAAGUAAAUAGAAUAAAUUGUCUUUACAUGAGAUAAAAAUAUAAUAUUAUAACAUAAAUCACAUAGUUAAUAGUAUAUCCUAACAGAUGUUAUACAAGAAUUUGAUUAGUAAAGAAUCUUUCAACUCAACUAUGAGUUAGGAGUUACUUAUGUCCGUAAUUCAUAUCUAAAGAACUUCUCAUACUAUCAAUUCAUUGAAUUUGGUUCUAUACGCACUUGAAGAAUGGUACUGAUUUUAGCUUAAAUUUUCGUGGUGUUACACUUAAAUUUGUGUUUAGUUGUUAGAUACCUUUCUUUCUUCUAAUUUCUAAUCUUUCUCAAUUUUAGUUCUUAAUAUAUCCUUAUAUCUUGUCUUAUUUGGGUUUUAUAUAUCUUGUUUUACAUUAACUUAACUCUAAGGAGAGGAACUCACUAUCUGAAUAGAUAGGUAUAAAUGAUUACUUAUAACUGAAAUGAGUUUUAUGUUGUAAAGAUAUCUUAUUUAUGUUUCUGUCAAUCUUUACAAACUUUUCAUCAUGCAAAAUAGUAAAAAUAAGUUGUCUUGUGUGUUUGUUUCUUCAUUAGAAGUAUAGUCUCAUGAAAAUUGAAACUUCUAUGAGAAUAUUUUUAUGGAUGAAAAUCUAGGUAAUGGAGGAACUUUGGACGGGGCUUGGGUUUUUUAGGUGGGUCUUGUGUUUGAAGUUUCUUAGUCUUUGUUCCUCUAAUUUGGUAUCUCAAAAAAAUGAAUCUUAGUUUUCUAAUUCUUCCUUAUUCAGCCUAUUACUCUUUCAUUUCUGUUUAUCAUUAGAAAAAUGAACUUGAAAGCUGGUUGUUAUCUUGGAUUUUUGAAAUCGGUGGUUGUGUUUAAAUUAGCUUGGUUCUUGUUUCUCCUGUUUGGUGUCCUUCAAAAUUGAACAUUUAGUUUUCUACAUCUUCCACAUCUAAUGAAAUAUUGUUUCAUUCUAUCUUUGUUAUAAAAAGAUUCACACUGUAAUUUGGUAGGUAUGAAAAAUUAUUUGGAUUGAUAUGUACUUUCAUCUUCAGAUUUUGAUUUAGAGAUGCAAACCUUUGGCACGUAUAGUCGUAGUAUUACAGUUUUUCAUUUUUCCUACUUCUACUUAUGCUAAUGGACCAAAUAUUUAUUGGAUAUGGCUAACAAUACAAUUAGGACAUUUCUAUGUCAUUCUACUUCACUUAUUGGCAGCUUAUUUAACAGGGUUUUGUCUUUUACAAAUAUCCAAGUGACGCUAAGGCAACAGUAUAUAUAUCGUAUUUGGAUUUUGAAAAAAAAAGUUGACAUGUUGAUGGAACUGUCUGACCAUGCUAUUGAGCAGGAUUACAGCAACAGGGAAACUGGUGUAUGUUUAUGCUCUAUAUUCUUUUCAUCUUUAUGACAGACCUCAAUUGUUGAUUUUCUUUAUUUAUGUUUUGCUGCAAGUUUACAAAUACAAGGGUUUCUAUAUUAAAAAAGUUAACUUCUUUUUAACUGAGUGUCAUGAAUUUUGUAUAAUUGUUAAAGUUAAAAAUCUGACUCUGGAUGGAGCUAUUAACUUUUCAAACCCAUGCAUAUAAAGAACCACAUGGAGAGAAUAUUGGCAUCUUUGCAAAAAAAGAAUGGUGAAUGGUGUAAGUAAUUUUCUCAAUCUUUUUAUUGAUAUGUAUUAUGAAAUGCUUUACAAAUAGAUGAUGGAUUUUGGAAAAAAGCCUAGGACCCUUCUUAUCUCCAACUUUAAUUUGUUGUAUCUCUAGUUUGGUAAAAUCUGAAUUUUUUCACCAAUAACUUCAAACACAUGUCCAAAUUAACAUAUGAACAAUAAAAUAAAGUUUAAAAUCUAUAUUUACAACUUUCAACUUUUUACAAUAAAAUCAACCCAACUUAUGAACAAUCAAAAAUGAAGUUCAAACUAUUUUUUCUUGAAAAUAGAAAAAAACAAAUGUUAAGAACUUCAACACAAGUUCAACCAACUUAUGAACUAUCAAAAUAAAGUUUCAAGAACUUCAAACACAAGUUCAAACAGUUGAAGAACUAUCAAUAUGAAGUUCAAACAAUUUUUUAGAAAAAUAGUAAAAACCAACUUUACGAAAAAAAGAUGAAACAAAAUAAUUCAAGUCCACCAAAUUCAUGGUGUGUCCUUAAGAAAAUUAUUUCCCACAAGUACCUGAGUUUAUGGAAUAUAUCCUCUCAGGAUAAAAUGAAUCACUUCAACGGAAUAGCGAUACCUCAAAUUCUGUCAAACUUCAAAUGCACUCAACGGAAGUAAAUCACACUAGAGUUUUUUCAAGAAAGAAGAGUAUUUUUUCUUCAAAACUUCAUGUCUAUACCUGAGGAAAAAUUCAAGUAUUUAUAGCCAUCAAGGUAUUGCUUCAUGAAGAUAAGCAAUGGUUCAAAAAGGUACAUUCCUUCAUAAAAGUGCAACUCUUCGAAAAAGUCAAACUCAUUGGAAAGAUCAUAACCAUCCAAAUAAAAAAUGUGCCUAUUCAAAUUGCAUCAUUUUUCUUGGUGUCUUUUUUAAAAAAAUAUCUAUUUAUUUUCCAUUCACACCUAUUAAAAUCCAUUCCUUAGAUGUGAUAUCUUUGAAGUGUAGAUCUUUAAUGUACACUCAGACAACACAAGUCACAUAACCAGCCUUUUAUCAUUUAUAGUUCUCACAAUUUUAUUCGUUUUAGCAAUAAACAUGUCCUAGUUCCAUGAGAUCAUAGAGAAUAGGCCUUUACUAACAUUCUCCUUGAAGUGACUUCCACUUCACUAUCACAAAGGUGAUUUCUAAAUAUUUAAUCCUAUAGAUCAAACUAUUUGGUCAAACCUGUCAAACAUAAAAUCAUUAAAAAACUUCAAACCAUAAGUCUUAUCCUUGUUUCCUGAAAUUGUCUUCAUCAUGAGAAUGGAUUGGGUAUAUAGACAAUGUUGAAUCAUCAGUCAUAACUUUAUUUGAUCUCCUUGAACCUAGCUCUUGGGAUCUCCAGUCUGCUAGGUAGAGUUAUCGACAUACUGACUUGUUCUAAGCCAUAAACUCAUUCCCUUUGAUGAUCUCUCACUCCCUGUCUAGAUAGGCCUUUUAUAAGUGGAUCCGACACAUUAUCCUUUGACUUCACAUAGUCAACAGUGAUAAUUCCACUAGAGAAUAGUCUUUAAAGGUAUUAUCUCUCUGUCUUAUAUGAUGAGAUUUACCGUUGUAUAUCAUGAUCUCUGCCCUACCUAUCGCCGCUUGACUAUCACAGUGUGUACAUAUUGGUUCCAAAGGUUUGGUCCAAUAAGGAAUAUAUUUCAAGAAAUUUUGGAUCCAUUCAGCUUCUUCACUGGCUUUAUUUAAUGCAAUAAAUUUAGAUUGCAUUGUAGAGUGGGCAAUACAUAUCUGUUUGAAUGAUUUCUAAGAGACUUCUCCUCUACCUAAAGUAAAUACAUAUCCACUCAUGAAUUUUACUUUAUUCGAUUCAGUGAUCUAAUUUAUAUCACUAUAUCCUUUAAUUACCUCUGGAAAUUUAUUAUAAUUUAAAGCAUAGUCUUGAGUAUAUUUUAGAUACCCCAAAUUUCUUUUCAUUGUCAUCCAAUGAGUUUGAUUGGGAUUACUCAUGCACCGACUCAAUUUACUAAUAGCACAUGCUAUAUUUGGUCACAUACAAUUCAUGAUAUGCAUCAAAUUUUCCAACACUCUUGCAUAGUCCAACUUUGAGUCACUUUCACCUUCAUUCUUUUAAAGUGCAAUGCUCACUUCUAAUAGAAUCUUGACAAUAUCAAAAUUCAAAUACUUGAACUUGUCAAGUACCUUUUUCAAUGUAAUGAGAUUAUGAAAAUGUCAAUCCUUGUGGAGUUUUAUGGAGUCUUUUAUAUUAAACUUGCUCUCAAGCAUUCAUUUCGUAGAAUUUAUGUCGAAAAUGUUUCUACUGAUGAUCAAUAUAUCAUUCCCAUUCAAACAAAUAAUGACUUUGUGAUUUGAAGUGUUUUUAAUGUAAACACAUUUAUCAUAUUCAUUUAUGUUGAAGUCACUUGCCAACAUGGUUUGGUAAAACUUUACAUGUCAUUGUUAGGGUGCUUGUUUUAGUCCAUAUAGUGACUUAACAAGUUUGCACACUUUUUUUUCUUUAUCAGAAACCACCAAACCUCGGGUUGUUUCAUGUAAAUUUCUUUCUCAAAUUCUCCAUUUAAUAAUGUUGUUUUCAAAUUCAUUUGAUGGAUUUUAAUACCAUAUACCACCGCUAAGGCAAUCAACAUCUGAAUGAAUGUUAUCCUUUUUACAUGUGAGUAUGUAUCAAAAUAAUCAAGGCCCUUUUUUGUCUAAAGUCUUUCACAACGAGUCUUGCCUUGUAUUUAUCAAUAGUACCAUCAAAUUUCAUUUUCCUUUUGAAGAUACAUUUAGAACCUAAAGGUUUAUUUUCUAGAGGAAGAUCAAUCAACUCCCAAGUAUGGUUGCUUAAGAUUGAAUCAACCUCACCAUUGACUGCCUCUUUCCAAGAGAAUGCAUCUGAAGACGCAUCACUUCUUCAAACAUUAGAUGCUCAUUUUUAAGAAAAAAUAUCACAAAAUCUAAUCCAAAUGAAGAUGACGUUCAUUGAUGUAUACUACAUCUUGGAUUCUCAUUAUUAAGUACAUUCUUGUUUGGUCCAUCUGAAGGUCGUUUAGACCCUCCACCAGACUGCUCAUGUCCAGUUUUAUACGGAUAAAUAUGUUCAAAGAACUCAGCAUUAUCUAACUCAUUACUGUAUUUUUAGUGAUAUCCAUAUGUUUGGAUUUAUAAACCAAAAAUUGACAUAUUUUACUGCUUUUAGCAUAUCAAAUGAACACACAGUCUAUAGUCUUAGGUCCUAUUUUUACCCUUUCAGAUAUAAGAACUUGGACUUUCAUUCGACAACCCCACACUUUAAAAUAUUUUAAGUUAGAUUUUCUUUCUUUCCUUUUUUCAUAUGGAAUUGAAUGUGUCUUACUAUGAGGCACUCUAUUGAGCAUUCAGUUAGCUAUAAGAAUAGCUUUCACCCAUAAGUUUUGUGGUAAACCCAAACUUAUGAUUAAGGCAUUUAUUAUUUUCUUUAAUGUUUGGUUGAGGUGAAUACGAGGCAGCAGUUUGAGGGACAAUUUUAUUUUCUACACAUAUCUCAGCAAAAGGAGAUUCAUAUUCUCCACCCCUAUCAUUUCUUAUCAUUUUGACUUUUUUAUCCAAUUGAUUUUCAACUUCUAAUUUAUAUUGCCUAAACACGCCUAUUGUUUCAUCCUUACCAUUUAACAAAUAAACAUAACAAUAUCUAGUGCAUUUGUCAAUAAAAUUUAUAAAAUACUUUUGUUCACCAUGAGAUGAUGUUGACUUAAUAUCACAAACAUCUGUAUGGAUUAAGUCUAAGGGAUUGGAAUUCCUUUCAAGACUUAUACGGAUGCUUAGCAUACUUAGAUUCCACACAUAUUUGACACUUUGAUUUAUUGCACUAAAAGUUAGGCAAUACUUCCAAACUAAUCAGUUUUCACAAGGUUUUGUAAUUGACAUGUCCUAAACGACUAUGCCACAAAUUAUUUGACUCUAGCAAGUAAUAAGAAGUCUCAGCUUUCUUUAUUUAAACAGUUAUUAUAUCAAGUUUGAAAAGGCUCUCACUGAGGUAGCCAUGUCCUACAUAUGUUUCAUUCUUGCUUAUUACAACUUUCUCCAAAACAAAACACACACUUAAACCAGAUUUUCAUGAGAAGUGUUGUCAACACUAAGUUCUUCCUAAUAGUAGGAACAUGGAGAACAUUGUUGAGAGUCAACACCUUGCCGAAAGUCAUUUUUCGGAAUAUCUUCUCACUUCCUUCAACCUUGACUGUUGCAUUAUUUUCCAUGAAGAUCAUUUCUUUAGGAUCAACGGUAUUAUAAGUGGCAAAAUCUUCUUUGUCCGUACAAACAUGUGUAGUGGAUCUUGAAUCAAACCACUAUUCAUUUGUAUUUUCAACUAGAUUGCUUUAAGUGAUCAUGGCACACAGAUUUUAAAUCUUUUUCAUUUUUUCCAAUAUGUUUAUCUGAUCUCAUUUCUUGUUCUUAUUCAGAACCUGACUAUUUAGAGCUUCAUGGCCAACAUUACUACUAUUGUAGCACUUGCCUUUGAAUGUUUUCUUGUACUUCUCUAUCUCUUGUCCAAAAGACUUCUUCAUCUUCUUAUUAUUUGGAGCAUCAUCCUUAAAAGAUUUGAAACUAUCAUUGAUAAUUUCUCAUUGAACUCAUUAUCUUCUUCUAUCUUGGGACGACUCACAAGAUCUUUCAAAUCAGACAAUUAAUUUUUAAUUUUUAUUUUUUCUGAAAUAUGAGGAUUUAUACUUGUGAACAUUUUCAUUUCAAGUUUGGUCAGCCAAAAUAACAUCGUUUACAGUCAUUCUUUGAAGUUCACACCAAAAUAUUUUUUUUCGAUUUCUCUGUCAUAUUCAUUGCUAGAACAAUAUCUGAAGGACUUAAUGAUGCAACAUUGGUUGUCGUUGCGACAACACCAUUCAUAAUCGAAUUAAUUUGUUGUUCAGUUUCAUUCAUCAUUUUUCUGUCAAUCUUUGACAUACACUUUAGUAUUUUAGAAUACUAAAAAUAAAGAUUUUAAUCUUUAUCCAACUUGUUUUUAGUCAACGAUGAAGUUUUUAUAUCUUCAAAUCACCAACCGAAUGACUUUAAAACAUUACAAAAUUUUUAUGACUUCAAAUCAGCAUCAAAUGCAAACAAAGUGAAUACCCAUAGGUUUUAAACUCUAGAAACCAAUACAGAGAGUUUAUCUAAUCAGUGCAGUUUUUAUAUUCUUCAAACCGAAUUCCAUACUGAUUUCUUGGUAAAGUUUUUAUAUUUUUCUAAUCGAGGGAGUAGAAAUCAAAAGAUCUUAGUCUCCACAAAAUCAAACACAAUACAAAUUAACCAAUUACUUGAUUUAUAAAUAGUGGUAUUCUUUUCUUUCUUUCACCAAACAAGCACUAAAAUAAAUAUUUUUAUAAUUUUCUUAAGAUUGUUGUAUCUCUGAUUUAGUAAAAUCUGUAUUUUUUCAACAAUAACUUCAAAUACAUGUUCAAAUUACAUUUGAACAAUAAAAUGAAGUUUAAACUCUAUAUUUACAACUUUGAAUUUUUUACAAUAAAUUCAACCAACUUAUGAACAAUCAAAAAUGAAGUUCAAACUAUUUUUUUCUUGAAAAUAGAAAAAAUCAAAUGUUAAGAACUUCAACCAACUUAUGAACUAUCAAAAUGAAAUUUCAAGAACUUCAAACACAAGUUCAAACGGUUGAAGAACUAUCAAUAUGAAGUUUAAACUAUUUUCUAGAAAAACAGUAAAAACCAACUUUAUGAAAAAGAGAUGAAACAGAAAGAUUCAAGUCCACCAAAUUCACGGUGUGUCCUUAAGAAAAUUAUUCCCCUCAAGUAUCCGAGGUUAUGAAAUAUAUCCUCCCAAGAUAAAUGAAUCACUUCGACGGAAUAGCGGUACCUCAAAUUCUGUCAAAUUACAAACGCACUCAAUAAGAGCAAAUUACACUAGAGUUUUUUCAAAAAAGAACAGUAUUUUUUCUUCAAAAUUUCAUAUCUACACCCGAGGAAAAAUUCAGGUAUUUAUUACCAUCAAGGUAUUGCUUCAUGAGCAGAAGCAAUGAUUUGGAAAGGUGCAUCCCUUCAUAAAGGUAGCAACUCUUCGAAAAAUGUACAACUCUUCGAAAAAGUCACAACCCAUCGGAAAGGUCAUAAUCAUUCAAACCGAAAAGGCGCCUAUUCAAAUUGCAUUCUUUCUCUUGGUGUCUUUUUAAAAAAACACAUAUUCAUUUUCCAUUCACACCGCUUAAACCCAACAUAAUUUUUAUACACAUAUAUGAUAUGAUUUAGUAUUAAGGUAAUAACUGUUUAAUCUAGAAUUAUUGUUUGUCUCUGUGUCGAGUUGGAAUAACAAUAUUGACAUAUAAUUGGCAGCCAAUUUGCUUUGCAUCUAUACUUGUUGGCUAAUUUAUCUUGCUUUUUUUUUUCAGUUUGUUUAUUUGCUAAACUGAAUUGGAGGAAGCAUCACAGAAGGCAAGGAAAAAGAGAAUGUUGAACUAAUAGUCAUUCUAAUCUUGAGCUAAAGUUGUUUAUAUAGAUUCACCUCUUUAAUUAGUACAAGUAGUAUUUGAUACAUUUCAAUGGCCUAAAUUAUGUACUUAUUAUGUAUACACUUAGUUUUUUGGAUUUUUGAAAGUGGAAUUUGUUUCACUUAAAUGCGGAAUGUUUUAAUCAAGAAGUAGUACUCAUAUCAUAUAAAGUUUAGCUUUUUGGUGUGCAUUUAAGGGGGUGGCUUCAUGGUCAAUCUUAUGUGACGGAGAAUCAUGAGAUCUCACUAAAAGUCUCGAAUAUUUGUAUAAACAUGACAUGGUUUGAGAAUCUAACGUUUUAGGUUUAACUUUUAAUAGAGAUCAAAAAUAUUAGGUAAUUCUUUUUAUUUGUUCUAGUUUUGAUGUAUAAAGUUAUAUGAUAUUUAUUAUUAGUGAGAGUUAACAGAUAUUUAAUUUAAUUAAUUGAGACAUACAAAGGCUGGUCAAGAUACCCAAUUAUCGAAAUAAUAAUAAAAAACCUCUUUGAGACACCAAAUCCCAAACUCAACCCACCCCACAACCCACACCCUCAUAAAUUCUUUCAGUUUUCUUUUUCCAACCCACCCUCACCCCCCUCCUCGCCCAUCCCCCACCCCCCAACACCAUAUGCAUCAGUCCGCUCCAAUCCAUUUUCAUUGUUGCAUUAAAUAUAUAUAAAUAGAUUUUAGAUAUUUUUUUACUUUUAUAUCAAACACAAAAAAUUAAAUAAAAAAUAAUUUAUUUUCAUAAAAAAUAUUUUCCUUCAUAUGGAACACACCCUAAAACUUAAUUCUUCUAUUUCUUUCACGGUUGGUAGAAAAGUAUUACCAAUUAUUUAUUGCAAGCCAUAGAACUAGCGAUGCUAAUGGGGCGGAGCAGGGCAGAUGUGAGGGCAAAGCCGAAUUAAAUCCAUAGAUUUUGAACAGCCCCGCCUCACAUAGCAUAAUUUUAGAAAAAUUAUAUAGAUAUUUUAUAUUUAAAAAGUAUUUAUAAUUUAUAGUAAUAGAAUUUUUUUCAAAUAUAAUAAUUAUAAUAUAUUUGUAUUACAUGCAUAAAUCACUUUUAAUACAUUGUGCAGAUUUCUUAUCUAACAAACAUAAUACAUUUUAAAACACAUAAUACAUCUAUAUUGCAUCCAUAAUAUAUUUUUAAUACAUAGUGCAAUUGUUAUCAAUGGUAGUAAUAAACAACAGAGCAAUGUUUUAAAAUAGUAAGUACUUAUUAAAAGAUAAUUAAGCAAGUAAUCAGUGCCAUAAUUGUUUGAUUUUGCCAUGCCCCGCAUAUUUUGCUUUUGUUAUGCAGUUUACAUUAUGCAGCCUAUAAUCUUUAGCUUUUAGUUUCUAGCAAAACAGACUCUUGUUCACAUGCUACGUUGAUAUUGUGUGAUUUAAGUUCAUGAUAUUUAACUGUGGCUACAUGCCUAAAUUGCUUUCUGAUCUUAGAUGCAUAAUUAGAGUAACAAGUAACCAUAUGCCAUAUUAUAUACGGUGAGCAAUAUGAGAAACGAAAUUGCAACAGAAGUCAUGAAACAGAUUCUAUGGAUUCGUAGAAUAUAGGAGUUUGGAGUGUAAAGGUAAUUUAAAAUUUUAAAGAGGCAUAUGAAAAUGAAAAAAAUUCAAAACAAACAAGUGUUUAUCUUAUUCAUUAAAAGUUAACAUCGUUAGUUACAAGGUAAAAUGUAAGGUAAAUAAAGUCACUUACAUUCUUUUUUGAUGAAAAAGUUGGUGAGGGCUGGGAAUUUAAUGCCACCAAUGCUUGUCCAUUUUGGGGUGUCUAGCAAUAUGCGUUUAGUUUAUUAAAUCAAUGGAUAAAUAUCUAGUUUUACCUAUUUUAUUCUUGAUAUUAAAUACAAUACAUCACUCAUUACAUUUUUCAAAACAAAAAAUUUAUUAUAUUCAAAGGCUAAUAUAGUAAAAUCACCCAUCUAUUGUUGUUUCUUAAGGUAUAUGUCAUGGCAAAAGUGAAUAAGUAUUUAUGAACGGAGGAGUAUUUAGUGAAGAAUUUAUUUCAACUGCAGUGCAAGGCUGGGAGACUGUUUUACCUUACAAAGUAAAAUGUGUCCCUUAUUAAUUUUCUUUUAUAAACCACCUGUUUCUUUCAUUUUUUAUUCAGAUUAUUUGUUUGCACCUGUUUCACUCUCUUCAUUCACAUUAUUUUGAGUGUUUGUUCUUGCUGAAAGUCUAUUUCAUCAAAAAUCUUGCAUUUUAAGGUAUAUUUCAAUCACCUUUUUAUAUAAUCAUUCCAAUACCUAACAAACAAGUAUGUAGUAUUAAUAUUAUUAAUCAUCUUUUUAGCUUUUACUAAUUUGCAAAAUGUUAUUGUUAUCGUGCCAAUGUGUUAAGCCUAAACCUAGGUUAAAUCAUUAUUGUCUAUCUAAUUCUUUUUUGAAUUAUUGUUUGCACAACAAAGAUGUUAAGUUUGAACAUGCAUGUGUAAAAAACUUGCCCUUUAAGCUCCAAACUCCCUUUAGUUGCAUGCUUGUGUAAACUGGUCAAUUCAUCAAAUUAUUACUUCACAUAAAUGUUUAUGAAACAACAUAUCAAAACUAAUUUUAAUUUUCUUUGUGUAUAGAUAUGGAAAUCAACAGUUUGUCCAUCUAAGAUCAUCACAAUAUGACGUAUAUGCCACGCAAAGUAAGCAUCAGUCUAAGACUAUUUUGAGAGGCACAUUAAAGGGAGAAAAGGCAUGUUUAGCGAACCAUCUUGAUGCGAAUAUUUGGGUCCUUUUUUCUUUGAAAAAUGCAAUAAGUGAUGUAUUGUAUUUAAUAGUAAGGGUAAAUAGGUAAAAAUGAAUAAAUUAUUCAUUGAUUUUAUAAAUUGGACAAGUAUUGUUGGACAUCUUAAAAUAGAAAAAUGGACAAAUAAAGAUAGACGGAAUGAGUACAUUAACAUCAUUAAAUUUCUAACUCUCAUUUUCAAUCAAAGGAUAAGGUAAAUGACUUCAUUUACCUUGCAAAGUAAAAUCGUGAUUUUACUUUACACUUUAUCAAGUAAUUAAAAACGUUAACUUUUAGUGAACUAGAUAAACACGUGUUUACCUUGUUCAUUUUGAAAUUUGCUCAUUUUCAUAUGCCCUUCUAAAAUUUUCAAAGAAAAACACUUAAGUCUUUUAGGCUCCCGACUCUAUAGUAUCUAAUUAUAUGUUACUGGAUUUUAAUCUUUUUACUUCCAAGUGUUUUGUGUAUAGCAUAAACAACUAAUAACUGAUAUUAUUAGUGUUUUUAAAGUAUUUAUUUUUCUAAAAAAAAGUACUUUGUUGAAAUAAUUUUUUUAUUUUUUUUUAGCUUUUGUUUUGUUUAAAUCCGCAAAAUCUCACAACCCGCUCCCGCAUUAUUUUUUAAAUGAUUAUUUCAACUUUUCAACCCACCAUACCUUGCACCGCAUUGCCCAAAACCCGCACCCGCACCCCAUUGUCAUCCCGACAGAACACAAGUUCUUCGUGGAACCCAAGGGCGGAGCUGUAGGGGCAGAAGUCGAAUUAAAACUCCUUUAUCAAAAGUGUCGCCACGCAAUAAAGUUAGAAAUGAUUUCUUGCUAGACAUAAUUUUUAUAUCCCCUUGACACAAAUAAAGAUUCUAGUGCAGAUGUAAAGGGGGUCCAAAGUGCUUUAAAUUACAAGUUCAUAUACAGAGUGUGACACAAGUAACAAUAUUUUGAAAGUCCUCCGUACGCUAAUGAAGCAUGUGGUACCUUCCACUAAACGAAUGAACCUGAACCUUUUGAAAAUGCUAACAGUGAGAAUAUAGCUUCUACAUGCAAACCACUUGAAAUCUGUGCGCGCACACACAAAGGAUAUUGCUCGAGGCUCUGCCUAUAUUGAUCAUGAGCAAUCAAAUAGCCCCGACAUAUAACCAAACAGGCGAUAACCCUCCAAAUAAGCAUUCGAAAAGAAAAAUCUGGAUUGCUGAAAUUCCAAAAUUCUUAGAACGACCAUUAAUUGCAAAAUAGGAGUCAUUCUUAACCAUUAAUAUAUACAAAGGAUAAAAUCACUAAGCAUAACAAUACUGGAGCAUUUGAUCUGCUUCGCAAAAAUAUGAAGCAUUUCCUGAUCGCAAAGAUAUUGUAGCAUUGGCUCGAUGAGCAGACUGAACAGCUGCAGAGGCAAAACUGGGACAAGUCAACAGAGGCCAGCUUUGUUCCUCUCCCUCGGAUUUAGCUUUACUUCCAGAUAUCAGAGGUAGUCUAUUUUGCACUGAGCCCACAGCGUUCAUUUGACUCAAGAAUCAAAGCUGCCAUUCAUGGGCACCAGGAUACCAUACAUUGUAAAGCUGCCAACACGGAUGCUCCUAUGAACCCGUCCCAAACAAAACCAAGGACAUGAGGCUGUCCCAAGCAUCACUGAUGCCAAUUUGUGAUGUCCACUUUAACUGCCAACUCAUCUAUGCUUUUUUGCUCUUUUUAAGAAAUUGAGACAUCUGCUCAAUGUAAUCAGGACCUGCACAGUGCCCUUCCAACAACCAGUCCAGAGCCUCAGCUGCUGCAUCUUUUUCAGCUUGCUUUUUGUUGUUGCAAGGUCGUCCCAUUAUCUGCAUUCCAUUGAACUCCACAGUAGCUUGAAACUGAUUGUUAUUAAGUUGCAAUGACUUGUAGGUUGGCGUUGCAUAUCCUGCUCGAUUAAGCAACGUCUGUAGCUGAGACUUGGCAUUGUCACCUCCCGGACCACUUUCUAUCCUUGACAUUGUAGCUGGUGGUGGUGCUCCAGCGCAUGGCUUGGAAGGAAGUAAAAUCUGAUGGUUAAAAAUGAAUCUGCCACCGCAUUGAUCCUCUGAGAUAAGCAACCGUAUUGCUGAAAGAAGUUCAUGAUAACCGUGUACAUCCAUCCUAGGAUUCAAGAGCUGUAACAUGUGGAUUGCCAACUUGAGUUAAAUAUUAUCUCAAAAAGACGAAUGAAACCACAGCUUCUUCAGACUUGACAAUACAGUAUUUCAUCUGUUCUGAACCAAUCCUUAAUCAGAACUGACAAUAAAGUGAGGUAGUAAACGAUCACUUACUUUAGUGUGAAUUAACUCGUCAAGCUCUCUUCUUAGACUUCUGUACAUUUCUGCUAUGGUAGGGUCCAUAAAGAACUCUAAGUAUCCACCCAACAUUUUCAAGUGACCGUCCUGUAAAAAUGAAGUAAAACGAUUCCACUCAACUGAUAGAGUAUGUAAGCAGGUUAAUUUAUACUUGACUGUAACCGAUACACAAAUUUCCCUUCAGGAUCUAGGAUCAACAGAAGGCGAGAAGGGGAGCUCACCGCUUCCGCUUUUGUGAUGGUUCCUCCAAAUAGAAGCAGCACUGAGUCGGAGAUAGCCGUAGAAUCCCGGAGAAAGACAGAGUUUACUUUGAUCUUUUCAUUGAAAACCAGCCAAGGGUAUGGUAUCCUGGAGUCCCGGGCAUUAACAGAGUUCUUUGCAUACAUCAGAAAGACAGUAAGAUCAAUGGGACUUCUAUUAAAUAAAACGAAAUACUCAGCUAGCAAACUCACCGAGUGUAAAAACACCUGACCAUCUUCCAUUGUUUUCAAUGAAAAUGACUUUUCAUUAUGCUGCAAAAGCAAUAAUAUCAGUAACAUUAGAAGCAAGGAUACUUCAAUGCUCACUAUAUAUAUAUAUAUAUAUAUAUAUAUAUUUGCAGUUUCACUAAAGCUUCAAAUCAUCCAUAAGGGCACUUUACUACUAUAAAAUUAUACAAUUAUAAUUAUGGAUACACUCCAGGUUGUUUCAAAAUGAAAAGGUAGAGAUGAAGAUGAUUUAUGGUUAAUGCAAAUAUGAUCUCCACGAUGCAAUAUUGAAGCAGAUAAAGAAAGAAACCAGGUUUUACCAGUACAGAACAGAUUCCAGGAUACAACCCAUAGCAGAUAAUCGCUCGAAGGAGAUGCUCAUCAUAACUCCAAGAAUUAUACAUGGUAAUGUUGCUGUCAACAAGCCCAGUAUCAUUCAGCAAAGAGUAGAACUCCUUGCGAAGAGAAUCAACAGCUUUCAUAGACUGUGCAGACAGAAAAUUCUUCCAGCAGUAUUCAUAUCCAGCUAGGUCUCUUUCAGCAUCCCUCCACCCCUCAUAUGCUCGGACAAGAGCAAGAUGAUCACUAAAAUCACGUGAAAAAUGAGCCUUAGCAGCCUCUGCAAGCUGAAAACAACAGCUAACAUGUCAAAAUCAUUACUGGUCUCUCAAAAAAAGUUAUGUCCAUUCCAACUAAUGGGGAUGAAGCAAAUAAUGACUAACAGCAACACGGAGGCUCAACUUACAUCUUUCUUGUCAAGUGGUGACAAGAAGGGAUCUCGGACACUAAGACCAGAAACAAUAGUUAAUAUCGGGUCCAAACAAUUCAAAAUUGCCCCCAGUAUAAGCAUUUUCCCGAGUUUAGGCUCCAUUGGAAGCAUUGUUAAGUAACGCCCUGCCAUUGAACCACAACAAAGGCAGAGAAAAAUCAGCGGACCAAAUAUUUAAGAUUUGAAUACGAUUAAAAUUCAAUUUUCAUACCUAAAACAGUCAAAUUUUCACUCUCAUCUAAAGCUCCAAUGAUUUUCAGAUACUCAAUAGCAUUUUGAACCUAUCAGCAAAACAAAAGAAACCUUCACUGAAGCAACAAACGGAGGUUGAACUUGUACCGUCCACGAGAUGGUCUGAACUUAUAUCAGAGGCCAGUAAAAUGUACUACCGAAUAAAAAUUGCUAUACUACCGAAUAAAAAUUGCUAACAUAUUCAUUACCACACAAGUAAGAAUAAUAAAUCCGACAGGAGCAUUACCGCUAAUAACUCAGGAGAUUGCAAAGCCCUUGAGAGGAACUCAGAAAUACUACCAAGUUUCAAACUUUUAAUUUGCAAACAAAGGGAUUGCAAAGGAGUCCUCAGGAUUUCCGGUAAUUGAAAAUCUGCAAAAGCAUCAUAUACACAUCUGGGAUAAAGAUGAUAGCAUUCUCCAGGCUGAACACGUCCGGCUCGUCCCCUUCUCUAUCAGUUUCAUGGGUAAACAAACAUCAUACAAUUAAAAUUUUGUCGGCAGUACCCAAAAGAUGAUUAGCAUGAAAAGGGAGAACUUCCUUCUACGGAAACAGAAAGUACCAACAAGGUGUAAACUUGUGAUGAGCAACAAAAACUGGAGCAGAAAAGAAGUGAAAUAAUUAAAUAAAAUACUUGCCCCCUUACUCAUUUUACAUCACAUCAUUAUAGCAGUCGGUCAUUAUUUACCAACACCGGCAUUUUGAGCUCGUUAUCUGUGUGUGUUGUGGUGAGUGUGUUUUCAUACGUUAUAAGAAUCUUAUUUUUCUAAGCAAUUUCCUUCUCUUUUGCAUUCAACUCAAACUCCAAGCUUUUUGCAACCACAGGUCCAAGGACCUAUCUUGCUUAGACCCGGGAACUCUUGGUCUUGACAUUAAAAGGACUAGUAAAUAACAAACUUGUUUCACACAAGAAGAUCCAUGAAGGCUAAUUUAAAGAGUCCUUUGAAUGUAUAGUCGGGGUUUGCUUUUGUUCUUUUUUUCUUUUAAAUGCUAUUUUGGAUGUAACCACAGCACUUUCAGAGCUGGCUUUUGACAUAAAUAAUGCUUACGCCUUCAACAAAGAAAUUCAACUAUGACUACGAUUGUUAUGCAAUGACAAGCUAAAGCUACAGCUAUACUAUUGUAUAUAAUGUUGUUUUUGGUCUUUGGGAAAAAAAAAAAAAAAUCUGGUGAGUCCAGUCCCUGACAAACUCUUUGUAGUGCUAGUUACCUUGGCAGUAUGUAUCAAUGAAACCAUCUGUCCCAAAUUAUAAUGAUCACUUACCUUUUUUUUUCGUAUAAAGAUAAUGACCAAUUCACGGGUUCAAGGCUUGGAAACAGCCUCUAGCAGAAAUGAAAGGUAAGGCUGCGUACAAUAGACCCUCGUGGGAGGGCACUUCCCCGUACCCUGCGCAUAGCGGGAGCUUUAGUGCACCAGGCUGCCCUUUUUAUUAAGAAAAUAAGGACCACUUAACCAUCUCUAUCAAAACAUUAAAAGUCUACUUAACCUUACUGCAUCUCCAAAAACGAUCUCACUUUCUUGAAGAGUAACUUCUAUUCAAUAUUUUAUAGCCAGAAUUCUUAUCCAAAAGCAAUAUUUUAUAGCAACACUUGCAAUUGGCAUUCACGGGCGUAAUGAAGAGCAACCACUCGAACGUGAGAGCAAACGAUCACCCAACAAAUGAAUAUACUUCUAGUUUCUUUUAAAAAUCAAAAAGCACCUCAAUGGUGCUUUCCCAUUUGAAUACUUACCAAAACCAUUUUUUCAGCCUUCCUCCUGAUAACCUUUAUUUUCAACUUCAUCAUCCAAUUCAAAAUAGACAUAAAUUAUAGGACAGCUGGAGCGCAUAACUUAGGGGCUUUGUUAGACUAAAAACCAUUACAUUCUUCAGCUUCUAUCUCAUUUGCAGUAGCUAUAUAUGGCAGGAUUCACUACCAAAACGAUUGCCAAGGGCUAAAUGCAGAACAAGUGCAGAGGUCUUCCUUUGAUAAGAAAAAAAAAUAGUCACUCAACUUGAUAUUUUGAGGCCAGUUAUAGAUAUAAACUGACAUAUGGAUGAUGAUUUGGACCACAAAAGCAGGGAAAGAAUUAUAAAGAAGGCUGUUCCUAUUGGCAGCUUAUGGAUAAAUGAAGAUAGUAAACUGGACAAGAAAAAGAAGUAUAGCCUAACAAUCCGACCAAGAAUACAUGAAUUAAGCUGCAUAAUACACCAAGGGAGCAAAAGCUUCACUGAGAACCAUUAUACUCAAAAACAUUUUUCUCUACCCCUUUUUUUAAGCUGAUGGUAUUGAGCCAAGCUUGGGCGAACCUCGAUUAUUCCACCAACUACCUGCUACCCUCACCAGCACAAGUACUGAGUAAACCUACCACUAAGGCUUAGGCAUAUGGAAAAAAUCACCUAGCGUUUUUCCUUUACUGAUAUGAACCUGAGGUCUUAUGGUUCUCACUUCAUUGACCACUAGGCCACACCUUUAGGUGCAACCAUUUUCGCUACCUUAAGUUGAAGAACAUGUGUCUUUUAUAAGCCUCACAUAAAUCAUCCUUAAAAGGGCUAUCACC